ACAUUUAUGACCUUACAAUGACCCCAAAACUGAGGCCAACAAUUUCAAACAGCUAUUGCCCGAGCUAUGAAGUAUGCUGAUAAAGUCAAUUUGAAGCCGCGACAGUGUAAGGAUUUUUCUCCUGCUGACGAUCACACGAUAUUUAACUGGAACUGUUCUAAUGCUUUGGUUUUAUUUACCUUUUCUAAUUAAAAAUCACAUUUUUAAAAAAAAGUAGAUCUAUCUCUAGUCCUAACAUUUUUGUGUUUCGGUGGUGUUUAUAAUAAAAUAAGCUCAACUGGAGAUGAGCGUGAAGCGGGGAAUAAAAUACACUAAAAUGGAGUUUUACCCUAGAUUUCUUGAUCUAGAAUAUAGAUAGCAAAAAGGCCAAUGUUUUUAAUUCAAAUUAAGUGUAACCUGCAUUAUGAUGUAUACUAUGAUAGUGUUUAACCCUCUUAAGACGUAGAUCUAGCUUUGAGAGCAGGCGCUAUAUAGAGUCUGCUAUUAUUUAUUAAGCUUUGCACCUGAUUCACAAAAUAAUCGAUAAACAUAAAAAGCACUUUUAGUUAAUGACUGUUUUACUACAUUGUAGUUGGAUGCUGUAACUUUAUUUUUCAUUUUCAGGGCUUUAGCUUUAAGUUCAAUUGCUCUUGCUGACUUAAAGAAGGUGAAAAUGUCAGAAAUGCUGUUAACUCCAGUCUGUUUGGGUUGCUUACCUCAUUUGCUGUGGUCCUGGGCUGUGAAUGGAAAUGGCUAGCUGAACAGUUUCUCCCUUACAGUAGCUGCACAAGAUCCUACUUACUUGUCACAACACAAGUCUAGGCCUAUGUCUUACCCGUAACCCCUAGAUGAAGCCUGCCAAUGGACUGUUUGGUGGCCACUAAAGUACAGAGUCUAUCCCCAAGCAUUGAUUGGACAUGGACAAGUCUGUAAAAGAUGAUUCUGUGUAUUCAGGUUGGUUAUUUGCCUUACAGUUCAGCUUAUUUCUCAUUGAUGAUACAGAUGACGAGUCUGUUUUCAAAGUACCUUUAAACCAUGUCAGUUUUUGGCUGGUUUUUUGGGUUUUCUUUGAUCAUUUGAUGACACUUGAGGCAUUUGUCUGAGAGAAACAUAUACCAGUACCUGACAAGCACAUUCUUUCAUGUGUUGCUUUUACAUUUUUAAUAUUUGUCUCUUUUCAGAAUCCAUCGCUGACAAAGAUAGCUGUAAUUGUAGACCACCAACUUGUAUUUUGUAUCUGUAUGAUGAAGUGGAUUUCAAUAAA